GGGUCACAUCACCUUGAAGCACUGCUUCCCGUACGAUCACCGAAGUUAAGCGACGUCGAGCCUAGUCAGUACCUAUAUGGGUGAGCACUUGGAAAUACCGGGUGCUUCA